GUGUAGCUUAGUGGUAGAGUACAUGCUUAGUAUGCAUGAGACCCUGGGUUUCAUUCCUGGCAC
rnacentral:tRNA from 1 species